AGAGUGAACGCUGGCGGCGUGCUUAACACAUGCAAGUCGAACGAGAACGGAUUUUAGCUUGCUAAAAUUGUCAGCUAAGUGGCGCACGGGUGAGUAAUAUAUAGGUAACGUGCCCUAGAGAAGAGGAUAACAUUUGGAAACGAAUGCUAAUACUCUAUAUGCCUUUAAGUCAUAAGACUGCAAGGGAAAUAUUUAUAGCUCUAGGAUCGGCCUGUACGGUAUCAGCUUGUUGGUGAGGUAAUGGCUCACCAAGGCAAUGACACCUAACUGGUUUGAGAGGAUGAUCAGUCACACUGGAACUGAGACACGGUCCAGACUCCUACGGGAGGCAGCAGUGGGGAAUAUUGCACAAUGGACGAAAGUCUGAUGCAGCAACGCCGCGUGGAGGAUGACACAUUUCGGUGCGUAAACUCCUUUUAUAUAGGAAGAUAAUGACGGUACUAUAUGAAUAAGCGCCGGCUAACUCCGUGCCAGCAGCCGCGGUAAUACGGAGGGCGCAAGCGUUACUCGGAAUCACUGGGCGUAAAGAGCGUGUAGGCGGGUUAAUAAGUCAGAAGUGAAAUCCAAUAGCUCAACUAUUGAACUGCUUUUGAAACUGUUAACCUAGAAUAUGGGAGAGGUAGAUGGAAUUUCUGGUGUAGGGGUAAAAUCCGUAGAGAUCAGAAGGAAUACCGAUUGCGAAGGCGAUCUACUGGAACAUUAUUGACGCUGAGACGCGAAAGCGUGGGGAGCAAACAGGAUUAGAUACCCUGGUAGUCCACGCCCUAAACGAUGCACACUAGUUGUUGCUAUGCUAGACAUAGCAGUAAUGCAGUUAACACAUUAAGUGUGCCGCCUGGGGAGUACGGUCGCAAGAUUA
rnacentral:rRNA from 1 species